GCAGGUGCGUUUAAGGGGAAAGUUCCCACCUGUUACCACCAGGAGCGCUGUUCCCAGUGUUAGGGGCCUGAGCUGGGGUCUGGGAGUGUGGGUUGGCCCGGAUCCCCCCCUCUGCCGCUGGCAGGCAGCCUUGAUACGGUGAGCGGCAGUAGGCCUCCCAUUACCUGUAGCCCCGUAGGGGUAAAUAAGAGUGGGGAAUUACCACGCAGCAUAACUGGAGUGGGUCAGACGUGAGGAACAACAGGGCAUUGUACCCGGACACGGGGCUGGACCGUGACAGUUAUUCUGAAAUAACAAAGAGCACUACACUACAUAUUUUGAUGCAUUGAUUUUUUUCAUUCCACUGCAUAAUGAAACCAUCCUUUGGAAAAAUUUCACAAAAAUGGAUUUAAGAAGACCCACUUCAGCAUAGCCAAUAGCCUGGUUGUUAGGACAGUCAUCUGGGAUGUAGAAGACCAGAGUGUAAGUCCUUGUUCUACCUUAAGAUAUAAGAAGAUUUUAGGGAACAAGUUUCUUGAAGAUUCAUCUGGCUGAAGAUCACCACAGCUGCGGAGAGCUUAGGGAAGUAUUCAAAGUGAGGAAGGGCAACAGUAUGUAAAACAGGGGAGAAGCAAGGAGUAGCCACAAGCCUUUUCCAUAUGCAGCCAAAAUCAAGAGAUUGGGGCCAAGUUCAGAGGCAAAUCAAGAUAAACCUUAAGCUCAGGUAAUACAUACCUACUUCUACCUCUCCAGCAGCCCCAUCUCUCAACAUGAAUGUUGCAUCAAAUUAGAUUCACUUAGAUUCCUUUACUGUUCACUCCUUGCUGGGUAACAUGCAACUUAUCUCUUCCCCCGCCCAAACUUCACCUCACUCCUGUUUUUUGGCCCACAGAGUAUAAGGGAGUUUAAUUUGGAGUAACUCACAUACCUCAAAGACUCAUUCAGCCAUCUCUAACAACAACAUUCCACAUUUGCAGAACUUCUGGGAUUCCUUUAAGAUCUAAAUUUAGGAACAAAAUCUAAAAAGUUAUCCCUUUGACAUACACUCUCAGGAAGCUACUGGCUCCUGCAUGUCUCACUACAGCAAAGCUAACUAUUAAGCUCUUGUUAUCCUAGGCCACUACAGUAACAGCCCUUGUCCAGUAAGCAUUACUACUAAACUGCACAAAUGUUCUGGAAUGCCCAUUAACAUACAAAGAAUAUUUGUAGCUCCAGAACACUUUUUUGCCUCUAAUUGUAUGCUGUUCUCCACAAAUAUGAAGGCAAGGGGGUUUGGAAGCAAUAAAUAAAAAAGUAGUAUAGUUUCAAAGGUAAUCAUUCUUUCUAAAUGGUUUUCUUCAUUUUCUCCUGGGAGCGUUCAUGUUCAAAUCUGUAAUCUGUUUCUUGCUUAAAUGAUUGAUUUUUAAAAAUAUUAUUUGAGUCCAUUUGAUUUCUAGUUGAGUCUUGGCUUUAGGCCUGCUUGUGCUUGUCUAAACUAUCAAGUGUAGACAAAAGUUUUCAUUAUCUUGCCUGGCUAAUAAAUCCCAUAGAUUUACCCCUUUAAGACUGAUUAGUGUCAUUUCUGUUGCAACCAUAGGUGACAGAUGCUAAUUUGGGGGAUCAGACAUGUCUAGGAAGUGGGGGUCCUUUUCUUUAGUUCUACUGGUAGACACCCUGGCAGGACCUCUGACAGUCAUAGUUCUCUCCUGGGUUUGAUUGUUAUAAUCUGCUCAGUUUAAAGGUUUCCCACCUUGAGUGUAGGAAGUGCUGACAGCUGCUCAGCAGCUUUCUUACUUGGACCCGAGCUAGAGCAGUGGCAGACACUAGCAUGUGCAGCCUGAGCUGUGAAGUAGGGUUGCCAGGUGUCCAGUAUUCACCUGGACAGUCUGGUAUUUUUGUCUCCUGUCCGGUAAAAAAUAUCCAGGAACCAAAUGUGUGUUAGAAGGACAAAGAAAACUAUUUUGGUAAAAAGAAUGGAAGAAUCCCAGUUUGCUGUAAGGAAAUUGGUUAAGGAGGUUAAGAACAUGAGAGGUUGUUGGGUAAUUGUUUAAAAGUUUAAAAGAGCUCAGGGAAUGAUAACUGCUUUAAACAUAAAUCCUCUAAAAGGAUAUAACUCUGAGAGCUCUGAUUCUGAUCAUUGUUUAAACCUGUGGGAGAUAAAGAAAAUGUAGACUCAAAACUCUGCUCCUCAGUCUUGAGUGGAGUUAGGUUUCUGAUUAAAUAGAAGAGAAGACAAAAGUGCCCAUUACCACAACUGUGUUCAGUUACUGUCCCAACUGAUAGUUUGAGACCAGAUAUGAGACAAAACCAUAUGGUCCUGACCAGGCUAAUGCAAUGGGGAAAAUACUGGGUUCCUCGGGUUUGUGGGAGAAGGAGCAGGGCAGAGAGGCAUAGGCAAGCGAUCUGUGUGGUGCUGCAACACUCCCACAUUUCAUGUUGGUUCCCAGCUGUCGCCAGCCCCACACCCAGGCUCCUAAUUGCUACCCAGGGCUGCCCUCCCAGCCUCAUGCUCACCUCCUACCUUUUCCCUCCCAGCUCUGUGCAGGUCCCUCCUUCAGAAGACAUGGUGCUAUUCUGGGUCCCAGCAAGGCGAAGUGGAGAGAAGACACCUACCACCUACCUGUUCCAUCAGAGAAAGCUUGCCUGUUCCAGUCAAUGAGUUCCUGACACCGUGGUGGCGUGGUUCUCAAGUUCCUGAUCCUGGCUCCCUGAGAGACAAGAGGGUUCCUGAGUUAUCUAUGUCCAUCCAGAUUUCAGCCAUUUUCAACAGAUUGAGUGCAUAGCAUAGUCCAGUACGGAGGGGAUUGAAGGACGUGCUGGAUCAUGGUGGUUUGUGGUACACCAGGAGGAGAAUCUGCGCCACCUAUGAGGGGACGCAACUAUGUACAAGCAGCGGAACGGGAGAACAGCUGAGCAGCAGAAGAAAUAAGGAGGAGAAUAAGAGGGAAAUGAAGGGUAGAAAUAUAUACAAGGGGCAACUAGAGGAAGUCUAG